rnacentral:rRNA from 1 species
AGCGAACGCUGGCGGCAGGCCUAACACAUGCAAGUCGAACGAACUCUUCGGAGUUAGUGGCGGACGGGUGAGUAACACAUGGGAACGUGCCUUUUGGUUCGGAAUAACUCAGGGAAACUUGUGCUAAUACCGAAUGUGCCCUUCGGGGGAAAGAUUUAUCGCCAUUAGAGCGGCCCGCGUCUGAUUAGCUAGUUGGUGAGGUAACGGCUCACCAAGGCGACGAUCAGUAGCUGGUCUGAGAGGAUGACCAGCCACACUGGGACUGAGACACGGCCCAGACUCCUACGGGAGGAAGAAGUGGGGAAUCUUGCGCAAUGGGCGAAAGACUGACGCAGCCAUGCCGCGUGAAUGAUGAAGGUCUUAGGAUUGUAAAAUUCUUUCAACGGGGACGAUAAUGACGGUACCCGGAGAAGAAGCCCCGGCUAACUUCGUG